GCCUGGGUGGCUAAAUGGUUGAGCAUCUGCCUUUAACUCAGGUUGGGAUCCCCAGGUCCUGGGAUAGGGUCCCGCCUCAGGCU
rnacentral:tRNA from 1 species